rnacentral:rRNA from 1 species
GAUCAUGGCUCAGGAUGAACGCUGGCAGCGUGCUUAACACAUGCAAGUCGAGCGAAGCACUUAGGAAAGAUUCUUCGGAUGAUUUCCUAUUUGACUGAGCGGCGGACGGGUGAGUAACGCGUGGGUAACCUGCCUCAUACAGGGGGAUAACAGUUAGAAAUGACUGCUAAUACCGCAUAAGACCACAGCACCGCAUGGUGCAGGGGUAAAAACUCCGGUGGGUAUGAGAUGGACCCGG